UUUUAAUCAUGGCUAAUGGAUCAUGGCUGAUAACGGUCCAUUUUCCUGCAGACUAUUCCAUGGGGGAAAAAAAAGGGGACGGGACACUCCCACACACUGCUUAUAUUUUCCCCUGAGGAUGGUACUUUUUUUGUCCGCGUCUGUCAAGAUGGCUGAAGAUGUAUGCUUUUCGUGUGACUUAACCCAAAGCCUGCCACGCCCCAUUACAGUCUUCAGUGUGGGACAGAACAUCCCUGUAGCUGUAACGAAGAGGUCCUCUCUGUAAGCCGGGUAGCCUAUUCAUCACAUCGAGACUCUCUUGGCUUUUCACAUCCAGAGUAUAUUCUACAGGUCGAGCCGCCGUCUUCAAAAUGGCACGAUCCUCCAAGUCCUCGCAGAACACUUGCAACUUCCUGCUGGCUUUUCUUGCCCUCUGGUCCAUGACCUCCCUGGUUGUCAUCAUAGUGUGGGCGACGUGGCCUUACAUGCGAAGUCUGAUGCUGAAAAUCCACACUAUGCCCAAGUAUGUCCUCACAUACUUGUUUUAUGCAAUAACUGAAGCGUUAAAUGCGCCCCUAAUUGUCAGGGCAGAUCUUGUAAAUCAGAUGAAUAGAGUGAAAAUGUGUCUGAUUUGUCUAAAACGUAUAAAUAAAUAAAUCACAGUCCAUGACAAUACACAAUACUGGAACACUUACCAUAUGGGAGAGAAUAAACAUGUGGCACAAUUAUCUUGGUACUUUAAUGGUUGGGCUGGUGUUUAAAACUUUGAAAUUGUUGCUUUGUAUAAAAGGUUGUGCUUUCUCAUUUUCCUUUAAGGAGGCUUUGAAAGAGAACAUUACCACUUUAAAAAGUGAUGUAGAAAUGCACAUGACCCUGCAAAAAAACGUGUCUUCUGUACUGGUAUGGCAGGAAGCCCAUAUUGACACACUGCAGGCAAACUUGACAUGGAGCCUUCAUCAGUGGGAUUCUUGUAACGCUUUAAUCAGUGCCGCUAAAAGUCAGCAGGUGGCAGCAGAGAGUCAGAACAAAGCCUGCAAGUCUACCACUGCUUAUAUAUCCAAACAACUGAAUGCAUGCAGGGUUGAAGACAACGUCGGAUCGCAACAGAGCUACUUCACCCCCACAUUGUAAUUUUGUGACUAUGUAAUGUGUGUUUUGAGUUUUGACAACCUUUUCUUUUGUGUCUGGGUCUGUUUUACCCACACUACCCCGGCCCCUGAGAUAUUGAGAAGAAAUAUUGUUUGUUGUCAGCAUGUCAAAACAUUUUCCUACAGCCAGCACUCUCCUCCACCCUAUAUUUGAAUAAAGUGAACUAUCAAGUAUACAAUACAA